rnacentral:rRNA from 1 species
AUUGAACGCUGGCGGCAUGCCUUACACAUGCAAGUCGAACGGCAGCACGGGGCAACCUGGUGGCGAGUGGCGAACGGGUGAGUAAUGCAUCGGAACGUACCUUUCAGUGGGGGAUAACGUAGCGAAAGUUACGCUAAUACCGCAUAUUCUGUGAGCAGGAAAGCAGGGGAUCGCAAGACCUUGCGCUGAUUGAGCGGCCGAUGUCAGAUUAGCUAGUUGGUGAGGUAAAGGCUCACCAAGGCGACGAUCUGUAGCGGGUCUGAGAGGAUGAUCCGCCACACUGGAACUGAGACACGGUCCAGAAUCCUACGGGAGGCAGCAGUGGGGAAUUUUGGACAAUGGGGGCAACACUGAUCCAGCCAUGCCGCGUGAGUGAAGAAGGCCUUCGGGUUGUAAAGCUCUUUCGGCCGGGAAGAAAUCGCACGGGCUAAUACCCUGUGUGGAUGACGGUACCGGAAUAAGAAGCACCGGCUAACUACGUGCCAGCCGCCGCAGUAAAAC